rnacentral:rRNA from 1 species
GACGAAGGAUGCAAGCGUUAUCCGGAUUCAUUGGGUUUAAAGGGAGCGUAGGUGGCCUUAUAAGUCAGUGGUGAAAUAUGGCAGCUCAACUGUCAAGGUGCCAUUGAUACUGCGGAGCUUGAGUACAGAUGAGGUAGGCGGAAUUGACGGUGUAGCGGUGAAAUGCUUAGAUAUCGUCAAGAACACCUAUAGCGAAGGCAGCUUACUAGGCUGUAACUGACGCUGAGGCACGAAAGUGUGGGGAUCAAACAGG